rnacentral:misc_RNA from 1 species
GUACCCUCAAGCUUUGCUUGGUGUUGGGUGUUUGUCCGAGCAAACUGCAAGGACUCGCCUUAAAAGUAUUGGCAGCCAGUGUAUCAGUCUUGGAGCGCAGCACAAUUUGCGUCUCUAGCAGUUAUUCUGGUAUCCAGUAAGCCUAUUUUAAC